rnacentral:ncRNA from 4 species
UUAGGUGAACCUGCGGAAGGAUCAUUA